GCCAUGCAUGUCUAAGUAUAAGCAACUAUACUGUGAAACUGCGAAUGGCUCAUUAAAUCAGUUAUCGUUUAUUUGAUAGUACCUUUACCUGGAUAACCGUGGUAAUUCUAGAGCUAAUACAUGCUAAAAACCUCGACUUCGGAAGGGGUGUAUUUAUUAGAUAAAAAACCAAUGCCCUUCGGGGCUCCUUGGUGAAUCAUAAUAACUUAACGAAUCGCAUGGCCUUGCGCCGGCGAUGGUUCAUUCAAAUUUCUGCCCUAUCAACUUUCGAUGGUAAGAUAGAGGCUUACCAUGGUCUUAACGGGUAACGGGGAAUUAGGGUUCUAUUCCGGAGAGGGAGCCUGAGAAACGGCUACCACAUCCAAGGAAGGCAGCAGGCGCGCAAAUUACCCAAUCCCGACACGGGGAGGUAGUGACAAUAAAUACUGAUACGGGGCUCUUUUGGGUCUCGUAAUUGGAAUGAGUACAAUCUAAAUCCCUUAACGAGGAACAAUUGGAGGGCAAGUCUGGUGCCAGCAGCCGCGGUAAUUCCAGCUCCAAUAGCGUAUAUUAAAGUUGUUGCCGUUAAAAAGCUCGUAGUUGAACCUUGGGCCUGGCUGACCUGUCCUCCUAAUCGAGCGCACGGGUUCGGUCGGGCCUUUCCUUCUAGGGAACCCCAUGCCCUUCACUGGGUGUGGUGGGGAACUAGGACUUUUAC
rnacentral:rRNA from 1 species